rnacentral:rRNA from 1 species
GAUGAACGCUGGCGGCGUGCCUAAUACAUGCAAGUCGAGCGAACGGACGAGAAGCUUGCGUCUCUGAUGUUAGCGGCGGACGGGUGAGUAACACGUGGAUACCCUACCUAUAAGACUGGGAUAACUUCGGGAAACCGGAGCUAAUCCCGGAGAAUCUUUUGAACCGCAGGGUGCGAAAGUAAAAGACGGUCUUGCUGUCACGUAUAGAUGGAUCCGAGCUGGAUUAGCUGGUUGUGAAGGUAACGGCUUACGAAGGCAAGGAUGCAUGGCCGACCUGUGGGGGUGGUCGGCCACACUGGAGCUUGACCACCGUCCAGGGUCCUACGGUAGGCCGCAGUAGGGAAUCUUCCGCAGCGGGCGAAAGCCUUACGGAGCAGGGCCGCGUGAGUGGUGACGGUCUUCGGAUCGUAAAACUCUGUUAUUAGGGAAAAACAGAUUUGUAAGUAGCUGUGCACAUAUUGACGGUACCUAGUCAGAAAGCCCCGGCUAACUACGUG